UGGAGCCGAAAAGGUUGCCAGCUCCUCUUCUGCAUAAUCCCUGGCAACACAAAUGCGAAGAAGACAAGCAGAAAACCGAACAAUGAAGCAUUCUGCUCGCUACAAUUUUGCUUGCUUUCCAGUGAGACUAAGAACAAAGCCCUUUGUCUGAAUCUGACAGGAGUAUCAAGAUUUAUUGAUCUGAGAGAGAAAUCUUUUUCAGAGAUAAUGUUUCACCUUGAGAAGUAAUACAGUAUAGCAUUUAACCAACAGAAGAAGCUGUUGCAUAUACUGUUACGUAAGUCCAGGAUUAUAUCCAUUUGAGCAAAUUAGGCUGGCACAUUAGUUAAUGGGAAGCCAGACUAGCUCUUAAAAACAAUGUUCACAGGGGUUGUUUAUGUGAGCAGGGACUAUUUGGAGGUUGUUUAAAUAAAUUUAUGACCUUCCAAGUUGGCUAAUAAUUUGUUAUCCUGCUGUGAUUUCCUUGCGUGGUUUUUUUUUGGAAUUAGGUUUUCCAAAUUACUUAUAUUUUGGGAUAAAGCAACGAAAGCAGUGCAGCAUCAGAGAAUGGAACUUUGUUGGAGAUAAAAUAUGAUGCUAUACCAUAAUAGUUUAGAGUCAACAAUAAAUGUGUUACAUACAGGAGGCUCAAUGUGUUUGCAUCGUUUUUAAUGCAUUUAAUCAACAGUAAUCAAAACAAUGUAUAUAAAACUUUUUUAGUAUUAAUACUUUGUCAUCAAUACUGUCCAACUUUAUUGCACCCUUCUAAGGUUGGUCAUUAUUAACACCAUUUUACAUUUGAUAAGAGAGGAAAGGCUGGACAUGACAUCUUUUUGGGUUAAGUUUAACUCUAUAUCUGCAGGGUUACACUCGUUUUUUCAGUUGGAACCUUAAUUAUCUGUAUAGAUGUUUCAUGUCUUCUAAAUUUAGUGUGGGAGAUACCAUAUAAUAAUUAAGCCAAAGCAAUCUGCAGCAUGUAAUUAUCUCAUUGAGGGGUCAUCAACAUAAACAACUUCUGGGAAAUGUUCAGGUGCAGAUCUCCAGCAGGUGGACCCAAUAGUGCGAGGUUGAACCCCAGAAAUUUGACUCUACGUGCUUUGACAUGUUGCAUGAAUGAGACAGUCAAAAGUAAAAUCUUGCUUAUUGUGGUUGGCCCUCAGUGCAGAUGUAUUAAGGUAUGUAGGGCCUUAUAAUCCAACUGUAUGCACAUUUACUCGGAAGGAAGCCCCAAGUGUUUUAUUGAGCCUUUGUCUCAAGUAAGUGUGUUUGGGAUUACCACCUGAGCUAGUUACGGCUUUAGAGGUUAACACUAAGACUGUGACAAAUGUUUGCCUGUUUCAGUUUUCAGGUUGAAAAGAGCGCUUUGGGAGGGUGAGGAUAUUUUCUGACACCACCAUUAAUGCUAACUUUGUCCCCCAAAAUGGUUCACUGCCCUUCCCCUACUCUUUGCACACAAUUAUUUGCUUCUUUCUAUUUUAUUUCUAUUAGGACUUCAUCCAGUCCCGGGAUCUCACCCAAUCACAGUCGUGGUUCGUAUUAUGAACAUGAUGAUGUCCAUGAUGCUAAGCAGCUAAUCACACUGGGCUUGUGCUGAUGUUGCUGGGGGUACGCACAGCCAAUUUGCAG